AGUGAACGCUGGCGGUAUGCCUAACACAUGCAAGUCGAACGGCAGCACCGUAAGCGCUUGCUCUUACGGGUGGCGAGUGGCGGACGGGUGAGGAAUACAUCGGCCUCUACUUUUUCGUGGGUGAUAACGUAGGGAAACUUACCCUAAUACCGCAUACUACCUACGGGUGAAAGCAGGGGAUCUUCGGACCUUGCGCGUUUGAUUGAGCCGAUUUCGGUUUAGGUAGUUGGCGGGGUAAAGGCCCACCAAGGCGACGAUCCGUAGCUGGUCUGAGAGGAUGAUCAGCCACACUGGAACGGAGACACGGUCCAGAGUCCUACGGGAGGCAGCAGUGGGGAAUGUUGGGCAAUGGGCGCAAGCAUGAUCCAGCGAUACCGCGUGUGAGAAGAAGGCCUUCGGGUCGUAAAGCCCGUUUGUUGGGAAAGAAAAGCAGUAGGUUAAUACGACGCUGUUCUGACGGUACCCAAAGAAUAAGCACCGGCUAACUUCGUG
rnacentral:rRNA from 1 species